GCUAUUCAGAUCGCUCUGGACUAGCUGCCAAUCACAGGGAAGACAGAAGUACAGCCAGUGAGCUCACCUGAACAGCCUGCGAAGUCAUACACAGAAUAAGAGAAAGACAUCAAGGGGCUCAUGGCUUUGUGGGUGCUCUUGGCACAGGGAAGUUGCAAGUACCGUUCCCCAGCUGAAUAGUUCUGAAUCCACGCCAGAUCCUUCUCAACAGUCUGUUUCACGGGAACCUUUAUUAACCGCUCCUUCCUCGUGAUGCAGUUCUGAAUCCUCCCUGUAGCAGGGGGUCUUCGCUCUUGCCUGAAGAUGUUUCUUUUCCCGGGUUUCAGCACCACUUGUUACGCGCGCUCAACAGGCCAGGAAGAACGACGCUGCUACAGGAUCCUUCUGCACACAUUUAUUCAGUCCUGUUUCUUCUUUCUCCAUAUAUCUCCCUUGUUUAUAUCUCCCUUGUUUAUAUAUCUCCCUUGUUUUUAUAUCUCCCUUGUUUUUAUAUCUCCCCCGAACCCUGGGCCUCUCACUCUUUUAUACUCUCUCUCAGUUCCCAUCCACGCACAGCAGGCCACGCCACCUCACCAGGCACGCAGCUUCAGCUAAUCAGGGCAGCAGGGGCAAAUCUCCACCAAAUUGGAUUCACCUGUAUCCUGGUACACCUGUGCAGCACUCAAGAUGUUUGUGUCUUAUAUGAGGAAGUCAGGUGCAAGUCAUAUGACUUAGCUGCAGUCCCUGGCGCCUUUGGGACUGCCGCCACACCCGCUCCCCACACUUUAAUAUACUCACAAAGUAUGUGUAGUGGCUAUUCUUGGUUGUCAACUUGACUAUAUCUGGGAUGAACUACAAUCCAGAAUUGGAAGGCUCAUCAGUGACCCUAAUCUGGAGGCUGGGAGAUAGAAGUUUCUGACCUGGAUCUUGGCAUGGAGGUCUUGAGGCAUAGUGGCUAUGGAUUCCAGAAUAGUAAGGCAGGGAGAUCUCCAAAUUCAAGGUCAUCUGGGAUUAAAGGUGUGGUGACACACACCUUGAAUCUGGGCUACACCUUCUGCUGGAGACCUACAUAAGGACAUUGGAAGAAGGGAGAUUCUCCUUCGCCUGCUUGCUGUGUGGGACUGAGCAACUGCUAGAUCCUUGGACUUCCAUUCACAGCUACUACUGAACCAUUGUCAGGAAUUGGACUGCAGACUGUAAGUCAUCAAUAAAUUCCUUUACUAUAUAGAGACUAUCCAUAAGUUCUGUGACUCUAGAGAACCCUGACUAAUACAGUAUGGAAACAUCACAAUCAAAUAUUACUAUUACUGAGACAGGAGAGAGAGAGAGAGAGAGAGAGAGAGAGAGCACAGAUCCAUUUGCCUCUAUCUCUUAAGUGGGAUUAAAGACAUUAAAAGAUUAAAGGCAUGCACCACAAUGUC